UAGAGUUUGAUCCUGGCUCAGAUUGAACGCUGGCGGAAUGCUUUACACAUGCAAGUCGAACGGCAGCACGGACUUCGGUCUGGUGGCGAGUGGCGAACGGGUGAGUAACAUAUCGGAACGUAUCCAAUAAUGGGGGAUAACUAAUCGAAAGGUUGGCUAAUACCGCAUACGCCCUACGGGGGAAAGCUAGGGACCUUCGGGCCUGGCGUUAAUGGAGCGGCCGAUAUCUGAUUAGCUAGUUGGUGGGGUAAAGGCCCACCAAGGCGACGAUCAGUAGCUGGUCUGAGAGGACGACCAGCCACACUGGAACUGAGACACGGUCCAGACUCCUACGGGAGGCAGCAGUGGGGAAUUUUGGACAAUGGGCGCAAGCCUGAUCCAGCCAUUCCGCGUGAGUGAAGAAGGCCUUCGGGUUGUAAAGCUCUUUCGCAAGGGAAGAACACUUAAUCUCUAACAUAGAUUGAGGUUGACGGUACCUUGAUAAGAAGCACCGGCUAACUACGUGCCAGCAGCCGCGGUAAUACGUAGGGUGCGAGCGUUAAUCGGAAUUACUGGGCGUAAAGCGUGCGCAGGCUGUUUUGUAAGUCAGAUGUGAAAUCCCUGAGCUCAACUUAGGAACUGCGUUUGAAACUACAAGACUAGAAUAUGUCAGAGGGGGGUAGAAUUCCACGUGUAGCAGUGAAAUGCGUAGAGAUGUGGAGGAAUACCAAUGGCGAAGGCAGCCCCCUGGGAUAAUAUUGACGCUCAUGCACGAAAGCGCGGGGAGCAAACAGGAUUAGAUACCCUGGUAGUCCACGCCCUAAACGAUGUCUACUAGUUGUUGGUGGAGUAAAAUCCAUGAGUAACGCAGCUAACGCGUGAAGUAGACCGCCUGGGGAGUACGGUCGCAAGAUUAAAACUCAAAGGAAUUGACGGA
rnacentral:rRNA from 1 species